UACAGAGGUCUCAAGCGUUGUUCGGAUUCAUUGGGCGUAAAGGGUGCGUAGGUGGCGCCGUAAGUCGGGUGUGAAAUUUCGGAGCUUAACUCCGGAACUGCAUUCGAUACUGCGGUGCUUGAGGACUGGAGAGGAGACUGGAAUUCAUGGUGUAGCAGUGAAAUGCGUAGAGAUCAUGAGGAAGACCAGUGGCGAAGGCGGGUCUCUGGACGACUCCUGACACUGAGGCACGAAAGCCAGGGGAGCAAACAGG
rnacentral:rRNA from 1 species